rnacentral:rRNA from 1 species
UACGUAGGGCGCAAGCGUUAUCCGGAAUUAUUGGGCGUAAAGAGCUCGUAGGCGGUCUGUCGCGUCGAAUGUGAAAACCCGGGGCUCAACCCCGGGCCUGCAUUCGAUACGGGCAGACUAGAGUUCGGUAGGGGAGUCUGGAAUUCCUGGUGUAGCGGUGAAAUGCGCAGAUAUCAGGAGGAACACCGGUGGCGAAGGCGGGACUCUGGGCGUAUACUGACGCUGAGGAGCGAAAGCGUGGGGAGCAAACAGG